ACGCUCGACACCUACGGGAGACAGCAGUGGGGAAUAUUGCACAAUGGGGGAAACCCUGAUGCAGCGACGCCGCGUGAGUGAAGAAGUAUUUCGGUAUGUAAAGCUCUAUCAGCAGGGAAGAAGAUGACGGUACCUGAGUAAGAAGCCCCGGCUAACUACGUGCCGNNGCGCGUAGUAUNGNGGCGUGNGAGNG
rnacentral:rRNA from 1 species